CCUACGGGAGGCAGCAGUGAGGAAUAUUGGUCAAUGGCCGAGAGGCUGAACCAGCCAAGUCGCGUGAGGGAAGACGGCCCUACGGGUUGUAAACCUCUUUUGUCCGGGAGCAAAGCGAGUCACGUGUGGCUCAUUGAGAGUACCCGAAGAAAAAGCAUCGGCUAACUCCGUGCCAGCAGCCGCGGUAAUACGGAGGAUGCGAGCGUUAUCCGGAUUUAUUGGGUUUAAAGGGUGCGCAGGCGGAGCUGAAAGUCAGCGGUCAAAUCGCGGGGCUCAACCCCGUACUGCCGUUGAAACUGGAUGGCUUGAGUGCGCGAGAAGUAGGCGGAAUGCGUGGUGUAGCGGUGAAAUGCAUAGAUAUCACGCAGAACUCCGAUUGCGAAGGCAGCAUACCGGCGCGCCACUGACGCUCAUGCACGAAGGCGUGGGUAUCGAACAGGAUUAGAUACCCGGGUAGUC
rnacentral:rRNA from 1 species